rnacentral:siRNA from 1 species
AUAUCAUGAUGUGGUGGU